UACGGGGGGGGCAAGCGUUGUUCGGAAUUACUGGGCGUAAGGGCUCGUAGGCGGCCUUCUAAGUCAGACGUGAAAUCCCCCGGCUUAACCUGGGAACUGCGUCUGAUACUGGGAGGCUUGAGUAUGGGAGAGGGAUGUAGAAUUCCAGGUGUAGCGGUGAAAUGCGUAGAUAUCUGGAGGAAUACCGGUGGCGAAGGCGGCAUCCUGGACCAUAACUGACGCUGAGGCGCGAAAGCUAGGGGAGCAAACGGG
rnacentral:rRNA from 1 species